AUGCAGUUGCAGGAACUACAUCCUAGCGAUUGUGCGGGAGCCAAAGCAUGUUACACUGGUUUAUCCUUACCACAAGAAAAAAUGGUUGCUAGGAAAGCACACAUGAGAAGUUUGACAGGGCCAAUCAAGGAAGUGCAUAAUCAACUUUACCGGACAAGCAAAUCACUACCCAGGAAUUGCAUCCUAGUUUUUCUGCGAGAACCAAAGAGGAUUACACUAGUUUAUCUUUGCCACACAUGGUUGCGAAGGCAUGCAUUGAAAAGUUUGACAAGGCCAAUCAAGGCCUUGCAGAAUCAACCAAAGAGGGUUACACCAAUCAAGUAA
rnacentral:rRNA from 1 species